CAGCCGCUGUUCAGCUCUGCUUUCCCCACUGCUCGGCUCCCAGCUCAGAGUUGCAGCGCGCUGCUCCACGUUGCCCAUGCAGAUCUCAGCCGUGGUGCUGCUGUUCCCUUUCUCUUUCCAGGCAUCGUCUUUGCAUCCUCUGCUGCCGUCUGCACUGCUGCUGCUCACCGCCCAUCAGCAGAGGGCGCGGAUGUGUGCGCAGCUGCCUCACUGAGAGCUGGGCAGGGAGGAGUGCUGCUUUGUUCUUCUGCCCUCCCAGCCCCGUGCCCCCAGCCUUGCAGGAGCUCUGCUGGCACACAUCGGCCCCGGGAGGCUGCACAAAGGAUGUCAUUGGUUUUUCUUCCGCUGCUGAGCCAGUGCUGGUGCCUCCUUCUGUCAGAGGGAACCAGAGCAAGGAAAGGGCUGAAGCCACGGCGUGGUUUCCUCUUCCAUUUCUACGUUAACUCGGUAAGGAUUGCUUAAUGCAAUUGUUUGGAAACGGGUGCGGACACCCUGUUCUUCCCAAGGAAUGGAGGGGAAAAGAAAUCUUAUUUUUAUUCAUGUGAUUGAUGCACAGAUGAAGGAAACUUAACACACAAGAACAGAAGUCGAUCAUUUCGAUCCUUAACGUAUCACAUCUCGGUGAGCAGGUGCCUUCUUCAGGGCUUCUCCCCAGUCUUGGCUGCUAUCACCGCAUCGGUAACACCGGAACAUCGACGAUGCAUCUGUCCAAAAAUCAACGUUACAAAUUUCGUAUCAAAUUCAUUUGUAGUUCUCUUUUUUUUUUUUUUUUUCCAAUGUCUCUUGGUCCCAAGUUUAUUGAAGGAUUUUGUUGUUUUAAAUUAUCUGCUAUUGCUCGUUGGGAUGUUCCCUGUUGUCGCCGUGUUUCGUGGGCUGGUUCGGAGACGGAGCUUGGGAAGGAUGUGCCACCGUGGGGAGGUUGUGAGUCACAGGGAUGCCCCCGGGCAUGAUGCCCUCCAUGGCUGCUGGUAUUCCUCCUGGUGCCACGCUGACCAUCCCGGGCGGGUACCUG
rnacentral:lncRNA from 1 species